GUCUGAAUAGGGCGAAUGAGUAUUUGGUCGUAGACCCGAAACCAGGUGAUCUACCCUUGGUCAGGUUGAAGUUCAGGUAACACUGAAUGGAGGACCGAACCGACUUACGUUGAAAAGUGAGCGGAUGAACUGAGGGUAGCGGAGAAAUUCCAAUCGAACUUGGAGAUAGCUGGUUCUCUCCGAAAUAGCUUUAGGGCUAGCCUCAAGUGAUGAUUAUUGGAGGUAGAGCACUGUUUGGACGAGGGGCCCCUCUCGGGUUACCGAAUUCAGACAAACUCCGAAUGCCAAAUAAUUUAACUUGGGAGUCAGAAUGUGGGUGAUAAGGUCCAUAUUCGAAAGGGAAACAGCCCAGACCACCAGCUAAGGUCCCAAAAUAUAUGUUAAGUGGAAAAGGAUGUGGCGUUGCCCAGACAACUAGGAUGUUGGCUUAGAAGCAGCCAUCAUUUAAAGAGUGCGUAAUAGCUCACUAGUCGAGUGACACUGCGCCGAAAAUGUACCGGGGCUAAACAUAUUACCGAAGCUGUGGAUUGUCCUUUGGACAAUGGUAGGAGAGCGUUCUAAGGGCGUUGAAGCAUGAUCGCAAGGACAUGUGGAGCGCUUAGAAGUGAGAAUGCCGGUGUGAGUAGCGAAAGACGGGUGAGAAUCCCGUCCACCGAUUGACUAAGGUUUCCAGAGGAAGGCUCGUCCGCUCUGGGUUAGUCGGGUCCUAAGCUGAGGCCGACAGGCGUAGGCGAUGGAUAACAGGUUGAUAUUCCUGUACCACCAUUAUUCGUUUUAAGCGAUGGGGGGACGCAGUAGGAUAGGCGAAGCGUGCUGUUGGAGUGCACGUCCAAGCAGUGAGAUUGAGUGUUAGGCAAAUCCGGCACUCUUAAGAUUGAGCUGUGAUGGGGAGAGGAACUUGUUCCUCGAGUCGUUGAUUUCACACUGCCGAGAAAAGCCUCUAGCUAGAAUAACGGUGCCCGUACCGCAAACCGACACAGGUAGUCAAGAUGAGAAUUCUAAGGUGAGCGAGCGAACUCUCGUUAAGGAACUCGGCAAAAUGACCCCGUAACUUCGGGAGAAGGGGUGCUCUUUGAGGUUCACGCUUCGAAGAGCCGCAGUGAAUAGGCCCAAGCGACUGUUUAUCAAAAACACAGGUCUCUGCUAAACCGUAAGGUGACGUAUAGGGGCUGACGCCUGCCCGGUGCUGGAA
rnacentral:rRNA from 1 species